UACGUAGGGCGCAAGCGUUGUCCGGAAUUAUUGGGCGUAAAGAGCUCGUAGGCGGUUUGUCGCGUCUGUCGUGAAAGCUUGGGGCUUAACCCCAAGUCUGCGGUGGAUACGGGCAGACUAGAGGCAGGUAGGGGAGAACGGAAUUCCCGGUGUAGCGGUGAAAUGCGUAGAGAUCAGGAGGAACACCCAUGGCGAAGGCAGCUCUCUGGCUUCACCCUGACGCUGAGGCGCGAAAGCGUGGGGAGCGAACGGG
rnacentral:rRNA from 1 species